CAUACCUACACGUACGCUACGGUCACAAUACGCAGGCCUCCUAAUUAUGCCUAGAAUUUCUAAGCAAACAGCUGGAGGCAGGGCUUUCUCCUAUAGAUCUAAAUUUUUAUGGAAUGGUCUGCCUACCCAUGUGAGAGACGCAGACACGGUCUCAACCUUUAAGUCUUUACUGAAAACUUAUCUCUUCAGUAGGUCAUAUGAUUGAGUGUAGUCUGGCCCAGGAGUGUGAAGGUGAACGGAAAGGCUCUGGAGCAUUGAACCACCCUUGCUUUCUCUGCCUGGCAGGGUUCCCCUCUCUCCACUGGGAUUCUCUGCCUCUAACCCUAUUACAUGGGCUGAGUCACUGGCUUACUGGUGCUCUUUCAUGCCGUCCCUAGGAGGGGUGCGUCACUUGAGUGGGUUGAGUCACUGACGCCCCACCUUGGUUUUUCCCGUGGCGGAGAUCUUUGUGGGCUAUACUCGGCCUUGUCUCAGGAUGGUAAGUUGUUGGUUGAAGGUAUCCCCUCUAGUGGUGUGGGGGCUGUGCUUUGGCAAUGUGGGUGGGGUUGUAUCCUUCCUGUUUGGCCCUGUCCGGGUGUAUCAUCGGAUAGGGCCACAGUGUCUCCUGACCCCUCCUGUCUCAGCCUUCAGUAUUUAUGCUGUGUCGAGGGGCUAGGGUCAGUUUGUUAUAUCUGGAGUACUUCUCCUGUCUUAUCCGGUGUCCUGUGUGAAUUUAAGUAUGCUCUCUCUAAUUCUCUUUCUCUCUUUCUUUCUCACUCUCGGAGGACCUGAGCCCUAGGACCAUGCGUCAGGACUAACUGGCAUGAUGACUCCUUGCUGUCCCCAGUCCACCUGGCUGUGCUGCUGCUCCAGUUUCAACUGUUCUGCCUGCGGCUAUGGAACCCGGACCUGUUCACCGGACGUGCUACCUGUCCCAGACCUGCUGUUUUCAACUCUCUAGAGACCGCAGGAAAGGGACUUCUGAGAAGACCAGCAAACCAGGCUGCCGUCUUGUGAAACAGUGGCUGUAAAGAAUCUAAAGAAGCUAAAGAAUUUACUUCAAAUUGAAUGUGCAAUUGUGUAAGCUUGCCUUGCAAUGCAGCUGAAGUAACAUAGCUAGCUAACUAUUUACUUGCUUAUUGUGUAGUGGAGGAUAAAAAUAACUGUAUGCCUGUGGAUGUGUAGCUAGCUACAGUUUGUAGCCGAUCUGUGUAUGGACCCAAAAACGUUAGGUUCUGAACUAAUAUUCAUACCAAUCUAUGAACAUCAGCUAUCAUAGUUGUUGUAUCAACUUCAAGUCUGAAUGGCAUUAAUGAAGCCUAUGGAAAGAGUAGAAUAUAAUAACUGUAUUGUGCCAAGGAUGCAAGUCCAAUAUACACAUGUACUGUAGUUAUUACCACGCAUGAGAUUCCUACAUUGUAGCCUGUACAUUGAAUAUAUUCACUGAUCAUGUACUCUUCCUUGGCAAAUAAAGGUGCGGUUCAGGUAUGAAUCUCUGAGACAUUA